rnacentral:lncRNA from 1 species
AGUUGUCCCGCGUGGCCCGGGCUGUGGGAAGCAAGUCCUGGCUCUUGGUCCGAGCCAUCGUGCUUUGUAAGAUGGAAGGGCAAAUCCACGCGAAUCUCUUGAAAAAGAGAGGAAUUCUGCCCAGACUCUCCAGCAGUUGGUAGCAGGCAAGCUUUCUCCUGUGUCGCCUGGAAAAGUUGCAAAAUUGCUCUUCACCUGUAAGAACAUGCAUUUUAUCUUCCAGUCUCUUCUUGUCAAUUUGGAAAUUGCAGACAGCCCGGCUCAGGAGAAAUGGCUUUGUGCAUUAAUUUCCCUGGCUGACACUGAGAAUAAGCAGCUCUGUCAGCCAUGGAAGUUGUUUGAAGGUGAUUAGGAGAGAAAUGACACCAAAGCCCCGAGCAAUGCUUUGCAGACGUCUAGGGGCUCAGGAUGUGUGAUGUAGCCCAGUUCUAUUUGUUGACAUCCAGCUUUUGAAAGCAUCGGCCUUUGAGAGUGGGACAAUAUUGGACCUAUAGGAGUCACCUUUACCUGGAAAUAUCAAAGGGUCAUGAAGUCAUCAUCAUCAUCAUCAUCAUCAUCACUAGCAGCAGCAGCAAGAUUUUGUGUUGGGAAGGUACUUCCACAUGCUACAGGGGACAGAAGGUCAUCAGCUGUUGGCCCAGGGAUUAUAGCAUGGAAGAGUUUCUCUUCUUAUAGGAUAUUAAACCUUUUGAGGAUU